AGGCUAUAUGUGAAAAAAAAUAUUGUAAACCGCAGCAAACUCCCUACGAUGCAUUGCAGUGGGUCGAAGUUAUUCGUAAAUCGUCGAAGGCAUGAUCCCGAGACGGGUGCAGAGGAGCCGCUGCCAGAUCUUUAUCAGAGAACACACCAAAAGCGCUCAAGGGAGUGGUGCGACGGUGAGCAGGACAAACAUGCAAUGAUGGUCGAGCUGAGGGAUGCACCUGUUGUAGAGGGGAGCUAGCAAAUGACGGAUUACUAGAUAACGACUCAACAGCUUGGGGAACGAGCAGGGGGCUAGGUGAAAGGUCUU